rnacentral:sRNA from 1 species
AGCCUUGGUUGUCUCAUGAACUGUGUAGCGUAAGCGGGCUGCCAUUGUUUUUCAUUGGGUUGGAAAGUCCGCCCCUUCGAACGUGCUGAGCGAUGCACAAUCGAGGAGGGAGGGUUGUAUAUGGAUGUUAACUGGCAGUUUGAACAUAUCAGAUAUGUCCGCGGAUAAACGGGUCUUCAUCUAACCUGCGAGGUCAAGUGAGGUCAGCCAUGCAGGGUCCAUGCAACUGUGUUCCUGGCCUCUGGCCUUGCUUCGAUAUAAUGUGCCAGAUGCAACUGAUGAAGCAGUGUUUGACAAUCAGGAUAACUUUAUAAAUCAAAAUAAAAUAAAUCAAGUAAAAGAC